AUUGAACGCUGGCGGCAUGCUUUACACAUGCAAGUCGAACGGCAGCGCGGGCUUCGCCCUGCCGCGAGGUGCGAACCGGGUGGGUAAACAACGGGACGUUGCCCGUAGUGGGGGAUUGGUCGGCCAAAGGCGGAUUAAUUCCCCAAACGGCCCGAAGGUUGAAACGGGGGGUUUUUGGGCCUCCCGCCAUUUGGGCGGCCCAUGGCAGAUUAGCCAGUUGGUUGGGUAAAGGCCUACCAAGGCGACGAUCCGUAGCUGGUCUGAGAGGACGACCAGCCACACUGGGACUGAGACACGGCCCAGACUCCUACGGGAGGCAGCAGUGGGGAAUUUUGGACAAUGGGCGAAAGCCUGAUCCAGCAAUGCCGCGUGUGUGAUGAAGGCCUUCGGGUUGUAAAGCACUUUUGGCGGGAACGAAAAGGACUGUGCCAAUACCACGGUUCGAUGACGGUACCCGCAGAAUAAGCACCGGCUAACUACGUG
rnacentral:rRNA from 1 species